rnacentral:rRNA from 1 species
CAGCCGCCGCGGGAAUACGUAGGGUGCAAGCGUUAAUCGGAAUUACUGGGCGUAAAGCGUGCGCAGGCGGUUCGUUAAGACAGAUGUGAAAUCCCCGGGCUUAACCUGGGAACUGCAUUUGUGACUGGCGAGCUAGAGUAUGGCAGAGGGGGGUAGAAUUCCACGUGUAGCAGUGAAAUGCGUAGAGAUGUGGAGGAAUACCGAUGGCGAAGGCAGCCCCCUGGCCCGAUACUGACGCUGAGGCACGAAAGCGUGGGGAGCAAACAGGAUUAGAGACCCGUGUAGUCCCUGUCUCUUAUAC